CCAGCUGGUUGUUAAUAUUCUGUGUGAAUAUUUAUAUCUCUGUGCCUCUGUUUCAUACCAGAGAAGGACUUGGUGGUCUCUAAUUUGCAAAUGUAUUCUUCAAGCAGUGGUCUUGCAGAGACACCCCUUAAACUAAAUUUAUCAAGUCUUACAUGCUUGUACAGUUGCACCCCAAGUCCCGAACCAAUUAAUUCAGUGUGGUAUUAAAAGACAAGAACAAAGGAUAUUUGAGGGUGCAAGACAUGUUUUUUCACUGGGUUUGGUGAUCUUUUCUCACUUUUUCUCUACUCUGUCUUUUGCCUUCUAUCAGAGACCACAUCUUAAAUGGUAAUAUUUUAUAUCUCCUUGAAACUCUUCCAAAACUGCUGCAAAACUCUGUAUUUUUCUUCAUCUUAAAUCUUAACUAAGUCUUUAUCUAAAAUUUUGGGCAGAUAAUUUUCCACAGUGCUCAUAGAAUAAAUCAAAGCAUCUGUUUCUUUAGCAUUUGAUUUUCUUUCUGUUGCAGUCAGGGAUGGACCAGCCAAGGGAGAAUAGAAGAGCAUUGAUCUCUUUUCUUCCCCUUGGCUGAGUAAGAUCUCUGGUGAUGUUUGUUUCUAGGACAUAAUUCAAAAGUUCAGGAAAAUCAAAAGUCUUCCCAUUUGCUUCAGAAACCUUUGAAUAUGGCUUAUAAAAGACAAUCACAUUUAUUUUUUGUGCAUGUAUAUAAAUAUUAAAGCCAGGAUAAUAUCUGUAUGGAACCACCUUGCUUAAUUAAAAUUUGGCUUAUACAGAUAUUGAUUCUUUAGCUCAGCAAAAGCAAAAACAAUGCCAAGAGUGAAAUGAUGACAGGUCUUGGGGGUGAAUAUUCUAGCAGAGCACGUUAAUAUCAAGCAAGUAAAAAGUAAUGUGGAAUAAGAAAAAGGGCCUGAUGUGCUGAGUUCUUUUAAUGAACUAGAAUGCUGACUCAGAUCGUACAGAAUCUUAAUUAUUUUUUAGAGGGGGAGGAAGAUCAGCUUAGUACUACAAUGUGUAAUCAUAUGCAGCUCUGCUCUACCUUUAAGAAAGUAAGACAAGAUAAAUUUUAGUCAUAUUACUUAAAAUUGAAUUCUGUUGAAACUUAGUGUCUUACCUUUAUUAGUGUAAUAUUUUAAGUCAGAGGCACUCUCUGAAUGACUUUGUGAGGCAGAACAAGCAGAAAUCAAUCACUGAAUUAAUAGUUGUGUAUAAGAGUGGUUCUUGGUGUCUUAGAACUGUCCUCCUUUAACAAUGUCUUUUUUUUUUUCUCCUGGAGUGAACAAGGAAAGACUUGCUUGAGUACAUCUGCAUCAAAUAUAUUUGAACAUUUUACUAAAUCUGUCAGAUCCUCAUCCUGCUCCCUCCAUACUCUGACACUGUCCAACUCCAUGACAAUAAAUGAACUAGCAAUAAGAAACACCAAAAUAUAUUAAAUCAAGCUCUACAAGCAGUUCUUUGUGGUAUGCUUUGCCCUGCUAUUGCUCUCAAGCUCUGGCAUGUCUGAGAGCCCAAACACUGACUCAAAUGCUCAUUUGGGAACAUUUUCCUUAUGAAGCUAACAUGGAUAUGAUUAGCAGUUCAGCUGGACCCCUCGUUUGUUGUUCAAAUAAAUAAAAGGACAAAGAAGAGUGUGUUUGAGGGGACCCUUUUAUAAAAGGUGUCUUUUGUGUACCCCACUGCAGCUAAGGCCAAUGUUGGUGCUGCAAAGGUGACUUGAAUGGAACUUCGUUUGAAUAAUAAGGACUAAACAAAACAAUUUACUGUAAACCCAAGGUAUUUGGUAAAAGUGGUGGUUCUGUUAGGUGAACAGGAGAAAAGCAAAGCUCUUGGAGCUCCUUUUUUUUGGUUUGGUCUUUGUCAGAAUAUUAUUUAACUCAAUAUCUGUUAAAUGGCCAUUAAAUAGCCAUCAGGUUUUGCACUUAGUCAGCUGCUCAGGUGUCCUACUCAGUCUCUGUCCCCACUGACUCUCUUCUUGAUCUUCUCAGCACCUAUGUGUGGAAGACAAUGCUUUGGAAAACUUGUUGUGUCUUCCUCUAAAGGAGUUCUGUACUGUAAUUUAUAGUCAUUAGGAUUACACUUAGAGGGUAAAACCCCCCAAAGUUCCUGAAGUAACACUCGCAUGAAUUUGUUCUGUGGCUCUGGGGAGGAGUUAACUGCCAGACUAGCUAGUCCUGCUUUGAAGCACGAGAAUAAAAGCAGCCCGGAGGUGCAGAGGCUUUCUCCUAAAAAAUAAAUAAAUAAAAAAAAAAGCUGGGGAGUACACAAGAGAGUAGGGGGGUCUGGAGAGAGGAGAGUCAGGUCAUUGUAAAUGGGGGAUGUGCUUCUGGGCAGUGGUCAGAGUCACACCUGGACAGAGACAAGACAAUUCUAUGAAAGCUAAUGACACUACUGAGUUACCAAAUGUAUUUCAGCAUAGGACUUGAUGUGAAUACAGCUGAAAUGAUCAGCUGGUGCAUUUAUAAUCUCUGAACCUUUUGGGUUUAUCCUCUUCCAAACUCUAGUGAUUUCCCUUCUCUGAAUUGUUUUUUCUUUGCAAUCUCUAUCUCACUCUAGGGUUCUCUAUUCAAAGCAUAAAAUGAAAGAGUGGAAAAAAGGAAACUGAACCAUUUCACAAGAAAUUUAUUGCAGAUAGCAAUUUAGUAGACUCAUUAUCCCAGUGUGAGGAAAAUAUAGUAGAAUCCUAAGAAAACCAACACAAUAGAAAUGCAGUGAAUAUACCCAGGGAUUGAAUAGACAAUUUCAUAAUUUCUCAGUUCAGGUUAAUAAAGAUCGUAAUUCAUUUUGCUCUAACAGAAUGUAUUAAGUAAAUGUUAAGUGCUAAUUAGUAUCCUGCUAUCGAAAAAGCAAGAAAUAUAUCACAAGAGAUAAGUUCAAACUGGUAGAAAUUGUUAAGUUUCUGGGUAAUUGGGAAUGGUAUAAUGAAGGUCUUGGCAGAAGCCUCAGUAGGAAAAAGGUUAAAAAUGCUUGCAAGAAUUUUUCAAGCAAGUCUAGUUACAAAAUAUAUCCAUUGCUGAGAGAAAGAUGGAGAAAGGAUGGUUUUACAUUUUCAAUAUAUAUUUUAAGACAGCAGCAAACAAACAAGAAAGGCAGUUUCAGCAUUGCCAGUGCUAUUAACACAGCUUUCUUGAUUGCAGCAGUUUAAUGUAUGCUGUUUCCUGAUGGGUCCUUCCCUAUAUCCCCAAUAAACACUUGUUUUGAAAUGCAAA